UUCAACGGCUGUACAAAAAGA
ensembl:piRNA 21ur-3074 ncRNA